rnacentral:rRNA from 1 species
GACGAACGCUGGCGGCGUGCUUAACACAUGCAAGUCGAACGGAAAGGCCCUGCUUUUGUGGGGUGCUCGAGUGGCGAACGGGUGAGUAACACGUGAGUAACCUGCCCUUGACUUUGGGAUAACUUCAGGAAACUGGGGCUAAUACCGGAUAGGAGCUCCUGCUGCAUGGUGGGGGUUGGAAAGUUUCGGCGGUUGGGGAUGGACUCGCGGCUUAUCAGCUUGUUGGUGGGGUAGUGGCUUACCAAGGCUUUGCCGGGUAGCCGGCCUGAGAGGGUGACCGGCCACAUUGGGACUGAGAUACGGCCCAGACUCCUACGGGAGGCAGCAGUGGGGAAUAUUGCACAAUGGGCGGAAGCCUGAUGCAGCAACGCCGCGUGCGGGAUGACGGCCUUCGGGUUGUAAACCGCUUUCGCCUGUGACGAAGCGUGAGUGACGGUAAUGGGUAAAGAAGCACCGGCUAACUACGUG